GUAGGAGUGAGCCUGCUCGCGAUGACUUCGGUGCAUUCAACAUCGCAGUGACUGACACAUCGCAAUCGCGAGCAGGCUCACUCCUAC
rnacentral:antisense_RNA from 1 species